CUUGGGCCGUGAAUAUAUUUAUAGAAGAAUUCAUUGAAUUUAUGUAACUACAAUUUUCAUUGACUUGUUAAAUUAUUAAAAUCAAUUGAAUUAAAAUAAUUAAUUUGAUGAUGUGAUGGAAAAUCGUAAAAACAAUAUCUUAAUUUCAGAAUUACAAUAGAUAUAUAGGCGUAUUUAAUUGUUUUACUUUAGUUCUACCUUGUUACAAAACUUUACAUGCUAGACUUUUGAUCAAUUAUUUUAGCAGCUAAUUCUUGAGAUUAGCAUACAUUUAGAAAUAUCAUGGAAAUUUG
rnacentral:misc_RNA from 1 species